rnacentral:rRNA from 1 species
GGUCACUGCUAUUGGGAUUCGACUAAGCCAUGCGAGUCGAGAGGGUUCGGCCCUCGGCAGACGGCUCAGUAACACGUGGAUAAUCUGCCCUUAGGUGGAGGAUAACCUCGGGAAACUGAGAAUAAUACUCCAUAGAUCUAGGAUGCUGGAAUGCGUCUAGGUUGAAAGUUCCGGCGCCUAAGGAUGAGUCUGCGGACUAUCAGGCUGUAGUCAGGGUAAAGACCUGACUAACCUACGACGGAUACGGGUUGUGAGAGCAAUAACCCGGAGACGAUAUCUGAGACACGAUAUCGGGCCCUACGGGGCGCAGCAGGCGCGAAAACCUUCACACUGUGCGAAAGCACGAUGAGGGGAUCCCAAGUGCUUGCACGUAAGUGUAAGCUGUUUCUGUGUCUAAAAAGCAUAGAGAGUAAGGGCUGGGUAAGACGGGUGCCAGCCGCCGCGGUAAUACCUGCAGCUCAAGUGGUGACCGCUAUAUUGGGCCUAAAACGUUCGUAGCCGGUUUAGUAAAUGCCUGGGUAAAUCGUGUAGCUUAACUAUACGAAUUCCGGGUAGACUGCUAAACUCGAGACCGGGAGAGGCUAGAGGUACUUCUGGGGUAGAGGUGAAAUUCUGUAAUCCUAGGGGGACCACCAGUGGCGAAGGCGUCUAGCUAGAACGGGUCUGACGGUGAGGGACGAAGCCCUGGGGCGCAAACCGGAUUAGAUACCCGGGUAGUCCAGGGUGUAAACGCUGCUUGCUUGAUGUUAGUCGGGCUCUGAGCCUGAUUAGUGUCGGAGAGAAGUUGUUAAGCAAGCUGCCUGGGAAGUACGGUCGCAAGGCUGAAACUUAAAGGAAUUGGCGGGGGAGCACAGCAACGGGUGGAGCGUGCGGUU